UUUCCAUAUAGUAAAAUUUUGGAUUUUCGAAUCAGAUGCAAAAAGUAUGAUUAAUAUUGUUUAACACCCCUCAAACUUUUCCAUAUUAACAUUCCAACCCCUCCAUUUCAAACUUUAGAAAUCGCAGACAUUCUCCGGCAAGAGCUUAUCACCAAAAGAGAAAAUCUAUACUACUUAAAAGUGGCCGUGGGUUGAAAAGUCGUUGAUACCUUUUUUGGAGGGAAAAUGAGAUGCAUAAUAUAGCAGGUGUGGUUCUGCUUGGAAUCCGGCGAUAGCUGGCGGGUGAGGCGACAAGAGAGAUGCCGGAAAUGAAGAGGAAGUGGCGGCGACAAUGCUGUGCAGGAUGGGUUACGACGGUGGCGGAAGCGGAAUAAAGAGAAGGAGAGGUGACGGCGGUGGCGGCUGGACUCUCACGUCGGCAAGCCCAAUACCUAAGAGUUACGAGAGAGAGGGGUUGGUGACCGGCGAUGGUGGUUGGGUGGCGUGGAGGAGUCCUCAAGCCAAUGGCCGAGAGGUGGAACCGCGAGAAGGAGAGAAAGAAGAACGAUAGGCGGGCGGCGACGCCAUUGCCAGCCGAGAACAGUGAGACUGAUAGUGACAAAGGCGCCGCUGCCCUCUCUAAUAUCUGAAACAUGAUUUUGAAAUAGUAGGGUUUCACUUCUAUUUAGUUGUUGGGCUCAUUGUUUGGGCUAAAAAUUAUUUAAUUGUUUUACUUCUAUUUAGAUGAUGGGCUCUUUGUCUGGGCCAUAUUUAGAGGUAUUGAAAGCAUAGGGUUUAGGAGCGUACUCAUACGAAUUCGUUUUGCAUGUCCAAGUACAAAUACUAAAUAAUUUAUACAGUAUAUUUUGUAUUAAAUUAAAGAUGAAUAGCUAAGAAAAA